rnacentral:rRNA from 1 species
AGCGAACGCUGGCGGCAGGCCUAACACAUGCAAGUCGAACGGACCCUUCGGGGUUAGUGGCGGACGGGUGAGUAACACGUGGGAACGUGCCCUUUGGUUCGGAACAACUCAGGGAAACUUGAGCUAAUACCGAAUGUGCCCUUUGGGGGAAAGAUUUAUCGCCAUUGGAGCGGCCCGCGUCUGAUUAGCUAGUUGGUGGGGUAAUGGCCUACCAAGGCUACGAUCAGUAGCUGGUCUGAGAGGAUGAUCAGCCACAUUGGGACUGAGACACGGCCCAAACUCCUACGGGAGGCAGCAGUGGGGAAUCUUGCGCAAUGGGCGAAAGCCUGACGCAGCCAUGCCGCGUGAAUGAUGAAGGUCUUAGGAUUGUAAAAUUCUUUCACCGGGGACGAUAAUGACGGUACCCGGAGAAGAAGCCCCGGCUAACUUCGUGCCAGCAGCCGCGGUAAUAC